rnacentral:lncRNA from 1 species
UUAUAGCAUUUCGGACAUUCUCCUAACUUACUACAGUCUUGCAUUAAAUGCUUUGGUUCAUUUAUUAGAUUACAAGGCUAAUAAACAUCUAUAUAGAACUAGUUCAUAUGUUUGACUCCAUUCAUGUUGUUCACCACGUAGUAUGGAAAACUAAAUAAUGAUCUUCUGAUGACAAUUAGAACCACACAUACAUUUCCCAGAUUUUCCAUUGCAGGUGAUUUGAGUUUUAUGCUAUUCUCUGAGCUGUGUCCCCAUUCAAAUGAUAAAGGCUAAUAAACCUCCAUAUAAAGUCCCAAGUCAUAUGUUUCUUUUUCUUAGCCAUGUUUAUAACAUAGUUUUAGACUUGUUUGCAAAUAGUUUCACUAAGGGAGCAGAUAAACUUGUGUAAAGUGUGAAGUCAUAUGGUCUAGAAGUUAUUGUGAGUUGCAAUUAAAAUCAUUUCUUAGCUUUGUUGGUUAUAUUUUGCUCCAGAAGGUGAUAGUAUGCUCUUUUUUAAGGUUUUUUAUUUUUUAUUUUUUCACUUAAGUUUAGGUUCUGUAAGGAGCUUUUCUAGGAUAUCCUGUUCAGGACUACUUUGAUGUCUAUAUCUGAAAUACUGAGCCUUUGAAGUACAUGAUGCACAAGGUGAGGAUUGUUCAAGCCUUCAAGCUACUCAUGUUCUUAUCUGAAAAUAUAGGUGGCUAACAUGGUCAAAUGCCUCAUUUUAUAUGAGCAUACAUUGAUAUCCUUAUUGGAAAAUCAUGUAAAUUUAUGGAGACAUAGUAGUCUAAAAAAAGAGUUGUGCACACAAAUCACAAAUGCAGUGGUCGGGAUCAUGAUUUAGAUAUCUUCAGUUGUAGGUACUUCAUUAAGAUGUAUGCUAGAGUGUGCAGUAUGUCAUAGAAAUAUGCAGAGUGCAAGGAAACUGAGAUCAUGAUUUACCUUCUCUCCUUUUCUAUCUAUAGAAGUGUCUAUAUGCUUUUUACAUGUAUUGGAGUAGAUAAUUGUAUCCAGAAAAUUCUGUAAAGUUUGCUUUCCAUAGCUUUGUGAUGAUAAAACCAUUAUGUAAGCCGGGGAUUUCUCUGACUUAUCAAUUCCUCUUGGAGCACCAUCACAUCAAGUAAAAAAGGGUGAAGUGUUUGAUGUCAAUGUAUUAAUUAAAAAAGAUGUAGCUUUGAGUCAUAAAAUCUGAGACAUGCGACUAGUUACUCAUUGGUUUUUUCAGUUGAAGGAUAAAAACAGGAAAUUAUUAGUAAAAGAUUUGCCUCUAGUUACUCAUAUUGGUUUUUUCAGUUGAAGGAUAAAAAGAUGAAAUUAUUAGUAAAAGAUUUGCCUCUGCAAGAUCUAACUUUGACCUGAAUCAUUAUUUGUCCAGGAGAAUGUAUUACAAUCUUUCAAGCUUCCACACCC